ACCCCUGUGCAGAUCCGACACUAUCCUAUCAGACUGGAAGCUAAAAAAGUCACAGCAUUCACAUCCACAGGUUGCAGGGAAGCUGAUAUACUGAUCCCCUGUCAAUCAGCCUAAAACAUGCCAUUGCUGCCUGUCCAGAAACCUGAGACAAAAGACUACGGAUUGGUACAGGACCUAAAAGAAGUCAACAGGAGGAUGGAAAGCAUUCAACCCACGGUACCAAAUCCCUACACUCUUCUCAGUUCAUUGCCUCCUUUUCGCCAAGUGUACACUCUCCUGGAUCUCAGAGAUGUCUUCUUCAACUUGCCAUCGGCUAAGCUAAGCCAACCAAUUUUUACUUCUAAAUGGUCAGAUCCAGAAGGGAGAUUUUUAGGAUAAUUGACUUGGACACAGUUGCCACAAGGAUUUAAAAACUCUCCACCUCUAUUUGAUGAGGCCCUAAGCUGGGACCUCACAGCUUAUAGGCAGCAACACCCUGAGACUGAACUUUUACAAUAUGUAAGUGAUCUCCUGACAGCAACCCAAACUAUGACUAAAUGUGAACAGCCCACCAGCAACUUGUUAGAAACCUUCAAGACCUUAGGGUACCGGGUGUCAGCUAGAAAGGCCCAAUUGUGCACCUCAACAGCCACCUACUUGGGCUACCACCUGAAAGAAGGAAAAAGGACUUUGUCGCAGGACAGAAUUAAAGCAAUCAUGCAGAUUCCUCGCCCCAAGACUAAGUGUCGGGUUCGAGAAUUCCUCGGGGCUAUUAGGUAUUGCCACCUUUAGAUCCUUGGUUUUGCUGAACUAGCCCAGCCCCUGUAUGUUAGUACAGGGGGGGAAAAAGGACUCUCUGACUUGGACUGAAAAAACAAACCCAAACAAACAAACAAAAACAAGAGACAUUUGACAAACGUAAGCAAGCCCUAGUCUCUGCACCUGCAUUGGCCCUCUCAGAUGUUCUGAAGCCAUUUCAGCUGUUUGUACAUGAAAUCAGGGGAAUAGCAAAAGGAUGCGAACUCAGACUGAUGAUGAUCCCUCUGGGCCACUGCACGACUGCCAGGAAAUCUUGGAGUCACUCCAGAAUGUCCAGUGGGACCUGAUGGACACACCGUGGCCAGACCCAGAUGAGACAUGCUACUCUGAUGGCAAUAGCUACGUCCAAAAUGGAAUCAGUCCUUCCAGGCUCUCCAGCAAGCCUCCCACAGACUCAGGCUUUAACAAAGAGUCCGGCAGCUAGUUGCUGGAGAGAACUUCACUCACCUAUUCCAGCCGAGCCAUUAUCCAUUUACCUUGGAACCUCGCGGGCACAGACGCUUUCCAGCCAUCCUGACCACUUCUACUGCUGUAAAAGUCACUGGAAAACAACACUGGAUUCAUCACUUCCAAAUCAAGAAGCCCGCUCCAACAGAAGAUACAGCCGAGGACAACCAACGAUGAACAGUACCCUAGAUUUUUACUUUCUGUUUUGUUUUCCUUUCAGACAUGCACACUGCACCCAGCUGUACUUGGAAAUUCCUGAGGCCAGAAAAAGACAGGAAGCCUGCUUUUAAAGAUUAGACUGCUGGUCCUUGAAAAAUAUGAUUAUGACAUGGUCAACUUAGAUAACAUGAAACUUAAAUAAACAAUGAUUUGAUUUAGUCUCAUAAAACCAGUGGGGAAUGUUGUGGUGUGAACUGAUAAAUACAGUCAAUAAGAGUGUAAGUUAUAGGUUCUAGAUUAGUAAAAAAUAUAUAUUAGAGAUAUAAGAUUUUGUUAAGUGAGAUAAGGCAAUUAUUAAGCAAGAACUGUCAUAGACAGCCCUAAGACUUCAUUGUGCUGCCUUCUAUAAAACACUGUUACAAGAGCUGUUUCUGAGAAACUGAAAUAAAGGCUGUUUUCUUAUAAUGUAUUGUUUUCUGUACUUAGUACCCUACAAAAUGUAUUCAACCCAGAAUAUGGUGGCCUUGGUGAUCCAAGACUUUGCACUAGAUUCUCGCCUCCUACUAACCAUCUUCUUGAAAACUCAGGAUAUGGUUGUCUAACACCUGCUCAAGUCUGAGAUGCGAUUGUCUUGAGGUGCUGUGCUAAUUGCUAUCUUAGCUUCUAUGAUUGACUUGCUUGCAUGAUGCUAAGGAAAGCCCCUGAGCUGUGGUUUGUGUCCUUAAAUUCCCAAGCCACAGGCCAGGAAAUUGCUGUUCUCUUACAUAGCUUCAGUCUCUAUGGGUGGGUGACAGUCCCUGGCCAGGUAAAUAAAGAUCUCUUUGAUUUGAA